GUGCUCACUUCAGUGGUACAUAUACUAAAAUUGGACCAAUACAGAGAAGAUUAGCAUGGCCCCUGCACAAGGGUGACAUGCAGAUUCGUUAAGUGUUUUAUAUUUUU
ensembl:snRNA RNU6-549P RNA, U6 small nuclear 549, pseudogene